GGAUAUGUGCAACCUAUCUACAUCUGCAUGUUGAAAGUUCUGUAAAUAAGUUACAUAAACAAACAGAAGAUGGACUCAGUGAAGUGAUCCAGAUGAAGAUUUCCAAGGGUCAACAAUAAAUGCACAAAUGCAAAAAGAUACAGUGAGCUCUGAAGUGGAUGGAAAUGACAGGAAGAGUUAAAAGAUAUUGUAACUGUACUGAAAAAAGAACUGGUAUUAUCAACAUAUGAUGAAUAUUCUACCGAAUGCCAACAAAAACUAUAAGCCAUUAUUGCAG